GCCCCCAUAGCUUAACCCACAAAGCAUGGCACUG
rnacentral:tRNA from 1 species